CAUUAGUGAAUGUAGGCGCCAGGUGUGCCCGCCAGGUUAUGAGCGUCGGGUCCAUUGUGGUGUGCAGUUGGAUCUGUCCGAUGAGCGCUGGCGCCAAGAUUUGGACCCGGCACAUUUGUGCUGCUGGAUGUACUUCAGUGGCUUUCCACUACAGCAUCUGAACGUACGCUGUUGUGUGGCUGAUUAAGUGUAAAGAGAAGAAAAGUCAUUUCAGGUCUGAGGGUCUCACACGCCACCAACAACGAGCUAGAAAAGGCUUUUUACACACCGAUCAGCUGCAUGGAGGCAUUAGCAGAAGCAAAACAGUGACGUUAUGGCCCUAAUGAUGACCAAUUUGAAGACCCCGGAGGACCCCAGCUGUGUCCAGGACCAGACGUAUUGGUCCGUGAUGAGCUAAACCAAUCCUAUUUACCCAUUCACUUUCUCCCCAUUCUGUAAGAGCCAGCCAUACGCAAACGCAUAUGCAUAAUGGCGAAAUAAUGGAAUCUUCUAAUAAUUUGUUUGGGCCGGGGCGGAAAGCAAAAGGACGGCAAGUCGGAGGCUGGCUUUCUAAAUGACAUGCCCUGUGGCCUAACACGAUUAGAAUUUAAACCAUGAGAGUGCUGAGACCUUCUUCAAGGGCCGAGAUGAAAUAUUGAGAUUGCCAUUGUGGCGUUUGCUCUCUUGCCGGCUUGCUGUGACAUUCCCUCACUCUGACACUUGUCUGCCAAUCAAAGUGACGGACAGCUAACACGGAGAGAACAAAAACGAGGUCCGCUGAGCCGGUUUGUUUCCAUUGACUUGUUGGUGAAGGAGGUUGAGCAAAAAACCGAAACCUGCAGACACUUUACUGAGUUGAUGUUACAUGGUUUAAUUUGAUGGUGACGUUGGAGUGGUAAUCUUGUCAUUUUGAGUUUCUGUCUGUAAAGGCUGCUAAAAAUGGAAAAGGCUCUAGCCAAAUGUUGUAUGAUCUGUGAGAGAAUGGAGAUUCCAGAUUAUCAGUCUCAUUCUAUACUGUAAGGAACAGUUUUAACAAAUACGUUAAAAAAAAAAUCAAACAUUUUAUUUUGCCAAGGGGAAUUCCUACAAGUAAUCCAUUGGGUAUGAACACAAGCAAGUACAACUAUAAAUCUGGUCUCUGAGCUACAAAAGUUUGACAGGUUUUAUUGAAAUGUCUUAAUAGGUAAUAUAUUAGGUUCAGCAUCAUUGCCCAAAAACCUAUUGGGGCUAUUACUCUGCAGGUUCGAAUCCUGCCAGCAGCGGCAAAAUGCGUAAGCACUAACCAGGUAGGAUUUAGCAACACACCAAUACAUUCUUUGUCAACGAGGGGCAGCAAGUGAGUCAGAACAAAGACUUGUACAGGUUUGGAUAAGCAAUCUUACUCCCAGAAGGAGCAAAAUAUCAAUAAAUAGCACUUUUUUUAAAUUUUAGAAACAAUUAAAAAAGUUCUUUACAAACUAAAACUCUAUAAAAUAACUCAAUGAAAUGUCCUUGCAGUUCAGGAUGGGAUUGUUCUCUGAAUUCUCAAUUAAAGAACUCUUCAGAAGCCCGAUCCAUGUCCGGUCCAAUCCAGGAGGAGAAGAAGGAACCUCUUGGCUCCACCCUGCGGCCGGCCGCCUCCGUUGGCUCUGUCGCACUGCAGACCCGCUGAGAUUCACGACGCGUGCCUCUGGCUUACCAAUGGGCUUCAGAAACACCGUCGACAAACUAACAGCAGAUAUUGCUGGCCACAUAUUACACGGCGCAACUCGUUCCACAAAAAUCAAUGUUUGACAACUGAUGCGGCGCAAAAGCUUUACUUAUAACAUGCUUACGAUGCUGCGGCUCGAUGUGUGAAUACUUGUAGCUUUUUUAUUCAGUGUUGACACAUAAUUAGGAGUUUAUUUUGGCGGUUAUGUAAAAUUCCAGUGUCCUAUUUGGAGGUUAGUUUAGGAGUGUGUCCACACACUGCGGCUGCACUGUAGGGAUUCUCAUACACUUACAUACAUGGAGCCAGCUUGGCUGCUGCAGUAAAAACGCAAGUGAGCAGUGAGUGUGGCUAUAGCUCUGCUGCGUUAAGGUUCAAACUAUCGAACAUUGAGCCUUUGAUGCUUCCCCACCUUGCUGGCGCCUGACUCAAAGUGAUGCCCUCUGUCCAUUAAGGCUCCAUCUAUCUGCUCCAUCCGUCUCCGAUUUCUCUUUUUUCUUUUCUUCAGGAAAAUUGUCUUGCAUGUUUGCUCUGAUUUUCAUGCUUCAACUCAUAAAAAGUACAAGUUGAAGUGGCGGGAGUAUUUUAUAUUGAAAACUAGUCGAUGUUUUUCCUUGGUAAAUAUGUUUCCAACGGCGUGAAAUUUACUUCAGAGCUUGGUUACAACUUGAGUAAUUGACAGAUGGAAAAAAGUAGCAAAAAAAAAAAAUAAAAAAUCAGUUCAUACAUUAAGUUGUGCAUAAUUAAAUGAAACGACAAAGGGAAUAAAUAUUGAGUGAAAUGAGGCACAGACAAUGCAUGGAUAGUUAGUCUCGCCUAAAAACCAGUUUGUCACUGCAAACGUAUUGAGACAAAUAUGUUGGGUAAAAGCAAAGAACUUUCUCAAGAAUUUUGCAACCUUGUUGUUGCCAAACAUAUGGUGGGCAAUUGAGUCUAACCUCCUGAAUUUUCCAAUAAACACUUCUAGGGAAGUUUCAUGAUACUCUAUAGAAUAACCAGAAGAACCUGUUAGUGAGCCAGCGACCACCUGCAGAGAGCGUCAGAAAGACCUGGAAUACGGUUUAUCCAUGAAAAGGUUGUGUAAGGUUCUCAAAAGGACUGGCCUUUUAGCACGUUAGAUGUGAAGCACUCCACUGCUGGAGAAAAAGAAAACUUAAAUUUGCUCUAGAACAACUAGUAACAAGGACAUGUCAUCAGAACAGGAGAAUAGUCUGGUUCGAUGAGGCAGUGUGGAUUUCUAUACAUGUUUAAAAAUGGCACCGCACACCACUGGGGUUCAAGGAGGAAACAUCGCGGUGUCACGUCGUCUCCCUGCAUCUGGUUCAAGCAGCUUCUUCCAUGUAGGUUUUUCUGACUUAUUUGGAUGAAUCGAUAUUUAAUCUUGAUGACUAAUUGACACUGUAUAAACAACACUAAACAAUGUAACAGUGUAACUAACCCCCUGAGAAAGCAUAGACCUGCCCCAGACAAAUUUUGACUUUUUUCUUACAAAUUUACAAAAUUUGCUCUAAAACAUAAAGACAGAGCCGUAAACAGCCUACAGUUUAUUGACAAAAUAAGUUAAGGGGUUAGUUGCACUUUAAGUUUUUUGUAAAAUAGUAUAAGAAUGCUAUUUCUGGUGCUACAUACCUUACACAAGUUCUAGUCAAAUGUCAAACAUUACUGAAUCUCAUGCUGCAUCAUGCAGACGCUCUGUCUGCAGUACGCUGUUGAAGACUUACUCAUCUCAGCAUGCUGAAUGCAUGAAAUGCCUCCAGCUGAUGUCAGUCAGACCUAUUUCCUGUAAUUCAACUAAUAACUAUUUAACCACUUCGUGUCUCUUGAUUAGAUUGUGUGCAAAAUAUUUUACUCUCCACCAAAGACGGUCAGGUAAGCGCAGUGAAUACAGAAACAGAACAAAUACAUAUACAUAUACACCAACAUCUGUGAUGAUGGCAAAAUAUUUCUACAAUAACUGUUCACCCCGUGUUAAACAGAAGUAACACUGUUUUAAAAAAAACUUCAUCUGGACAAAUGUGGUGGUAUUUCUGUAACUUUCUCACUUUUAUGUUGGGCUGUAGAGCAGAAGAGAAACUGUGUUUGGCACAGCCAGCAGAAGCUCAUGAUUAUUUGAAUAUUGUCUCCCUCAUGAAUAAUACAAAAUAUCGCUUGCUAGGUGGGGAUCGCUCUCUCUCUCGCUCUCUCUCUCUCAUUUAGGGUGCGAGUGUGUGUACGAAACAGUGUGUGUGUUGCGUGUGCGAGCACCAGCACCUGUGCUUGACCUUUUAUGUAACAAUAAAUAAAGAAACCUGCCAACACAGUAUUUUUGGUGCAUUCACUCUGAUCUCUGAGUCCGUUUGCAUACGUAAUCCACAUUAUUCUGUUGGCUUUUGAGAGUGGGAGAGAGAGUGGGAGGAGGUUAAAAGGUUGCAGG